rnacentral:rRNA from 1 species
AGCGAACGCUGGCGGCAGGCCUAACACAUGCAAGUCGAACGGAUCCUUCGGGAUUAGUGGCGGACGGGUGAGUAACACGUGGGAACGUGCCCUUUGGUUCGGAACAACUCAGGGAAACUUGAGCUAAUACCGGAUGAGCCCUUCGGGGAAAGAUUUAUCGCCAUUAGAGCGGCCCGCGUUAGAUUAGCUAGUUGGUGAGGUAAAGGCUCACCAAGGCUACGAUCUAUAGCUGGUCUGAGAGGAUGAUCAGCCACACUGGGACUGAGACACGGCCCAGACUCCUACGGGAAGCAGCAGUGGGGAAUCUUGCGCAAUGGGCGAAAGCCUGACGCAGCCAUGCCGCGUGAAUGAUGAAGGUCUUAGGAUUGUAAAAUUCUUUUACCAGGGACGAUAAUGACGGUACCUGGAGAAAAAGCCCCGGCUAACUUCGUGCCAGCCGCCGCAGUAAUAC